UAUAAUAAUUUUCCACAUGAUAGCUCUAUUCACAUAUUUAUCUUCGAUUUCCUUCAGACGAAGGAAGAGAAAAAGGAGAAGGGGAAAAAGCAGCAACGGUUGUCGGUGUAGAUGUCUAUCGAUCGCUGAUAAUCUACGAUCGAGACAUCUGAUGGCAGCAAGUUAUGUAAUGGGACGACAAGCAGGAAAUAAAAUCGACUUGUAAUGUCAUGACGCAUCUUGCGGCGAAGCCAAAGUCACGCACAAUGCACGAAACGACAGAUAAUACUAGAAGAAAUCAGAAUUGAAGAGAUUGAAAUAUACAAUGUGCGAACGUGUGUGAUACUUUUGAAACUGGAUUUCUCAAUGCUAUGAAGUUGACGAAUGUGCUAAGAUCACUCAGGUGACUGGCAAAUUGUUCGCCAAUAUUCUCAGCGGUGGUCCACGCUUAUCACAAUUUCAAUCGAUAGAUUCUGAUCUUGAACGAAGACUUCGCCACGCCUUUUGUAAAAUAAUAGAUUUCUAGCUGAUUCUGAUUCAGACUUCGAUAUAGUUUGCGAUUAAACGAUUUAUUGCGAUUUGUGUAUUCCUGCUUAGUGGCUCAAUAUGUGUCAAUCACGAAUAGUGUUUAUGUAAUUACAUAUAUGUGUAUAGAUAUAUAUGAAUAUAUUGGAAUAUUUAGA